rnacentral:rRNA from 1 species
CCCUUAGACGUUCUGGGCCGCACGCGCGCCACACUGACAAAGGCAACGAGCUACUCUUCACCGAAAGGUGUGGGUAAUCUUUUGAAACUUUGUCGUGCUGGGGAUAGAUCCUUGCAAUUUUUGAUCUUAAACGAGGAAUUCCUAGUAAGCGCAAGUCAUCAACUUGCGUUGAUUACGUCCCUGCCCUUUGUACACACCGCCCGUCGCUACUACCGAUUGAAUGGUUUAGUGAGGCCUUCGGAUCCGCGACUCGUUUGUGGAGAAGUUGGACAAACUCAGUCAUUUAGAGGAAGUAAAAGUCGUAACA